rnacentral:tRNA from 1 species
GCCCUGGUAGCUCAGUAGGUAGAGCAGUUGGCUGUUAACCAAAAGGUCGCCGGUUCGAGUCCGGCCCAGGGCG